rnacentral:lncRNA from 1 species
AUGGCACGCCUUUGGAGCACAGUACUUCUCCUCGUCGUGGCGUAUUCUGACGGAGUCGCCAGCCUUGUGUGCAGAGACGGCGAACACUUGGUGGUGUCAGAGGGUCAACCGGACCGAUGUUGCGGCUACUGCGGGGCUGACUCUUUCAUCACGAAAAACUGCACCAUUGAUGACGGACUUCACUGCAAGGUUUGCAAUAAGUGUGAAGGUGAGUUUCCUCUCUGUCCUCUGCAUGAAUCGCAGCAGGCCUGGAUUUGGAAAGAUAGGAGAGGUGGAGAGAGGAGCUGAUUGUGGGAGGAGGUGGCCCAGUUGACACUCUGGUUGU